CAGUCGCCACGGUAAGACAGAGGAUGCAAGCGUUAUCCGGAAUGAUUGGGCGUAAAGCGUCUGUAGGUGGCUUUUCAAGUCCGCCGUCAAAUCCCAGGGCUCAACCCUGGACAGGCGGUGGAAACUACCAAGCUGGAGUACGGUAGGGGCAGAGGGAAUUUCCGGUGGAGCGGUGAAAUGCGUAGAUAUCGGAAGGAACACCUGUGGCGAAAGCGGCUCACUGGACCAUUUCUGACGCUGAUGCACGAAAGCUAGGGGAGCAAACAGGCUUAGAUACCCCUGUAGUCCCUGUCUCUUAUAC
rnacentral:rRNA from 1 species